CUUCAAUGUGGUUUCUUUUGACCUACACUGUUCAAGGAUUGCCACAGUUUCUGCAGGUCACGUGAUAAAUGUCAGAGAACAGGUAACAUAUCAGCGCGUCACGAGAUGCCACGUAACAACAUUUUGGAGGUGGAAAUAUUUGAUGUCUAGGGGGUUGAUUUUAUGGGUCCUUUUCCAUCAUCUUAUAACAAUCGGUACAUCCUAGUAGCAGUGGACUAUGUCUCUGAAUGGGUAGAAGUUAAAGCAUUGCCUACAAAUGACGCAAGGGUGGUGGUGGACUUCAUAAAGAAACACAUCUUUAACCUCUAUGGAUCACCUAGGGCCAUUAUAAGUGAUAGAGGAACUGACUUCCGUAAUCGGUUAUUCCAGGCAGUGCUGCAUAAGUACGGGGUACAACAUCGAAUUGCCACCCUUUACCACUCUCAGACAAGUGGACAGGUGGAAACCUCGAAUAGACAAUUAAAAAGAAUUCUGGAGCUCACUGUGAAUGCAUCUCGCAAGGAUUGAUAAAAAAAUUAGACGAUGCUCUAUAGGCAUAUCACACUGCUUACAAGACACUUAUUGGGAUGUCCCCAUAUUGACUAGUCUUUGGAAAAGCAUGCCACCUACCAAUGGAGUUUGAACAUAGAGCAUACUGGACAUUAAAGUAGUUAAACAUGGACCUCGAAAAGGCUGAAGAAAUAAGAAUAUUACAGCUACAUGAAUUGGAAGAAUUCAAAAGAGAAGCAUAUGAGAAUGCAGUCAUCUAUAAGGAAAGGGCGAAGCAGUGGCAUGACAAGAACAUCAGGCAAAGAAUUUUUAGAGUGGGAGAUCAAGUGUUUUUAUACAAUUCCAGACUUAAACUGUUUCCAGGAAAGUUAAAAUUUAGAUGGUCCGGCCCUUUUACGUUCUUUCAGGUGUUUCCCUACGGCACAGUUGAAUUACACCAUCCAACAAAAGGAAACUCCAAAGUAAAUGAUCAACGUAUCAAGCACUACGUGGAAGAUUUUUUCACCACUAGAGAGAGCAUUGACCUAGCCGUACCAUAAUAACAAUGGUAUAAAGUCUAGCUAAUGACUUUAAAGAAACGCUUAUUGGGAGAUAGCCUAAUUUUCAAAUUUUUUUUAUUUUACUUUUUAUAUCGCAUAGCAUAUUCUUUUGUUUUAUUUACUAGGUUGCAUUAGAUUUAGGCAUGUUUCAAUUUUUAGGAGUCAUCACUCAUAUCCCUUCUGCCCUCAGGCCUUUGAAUUUAUUUUUGGUUAUUUUGAUUGUUUGAGCUAAGUAACCCUUGUUCCUUGUAUUUAAUUUGACAAAUUUGAUUUUUCAGGAACAUGACGUCGUGAAACACUCAAACCAACAUAGAUACAAGGGAAAGCAUGAUAAAUAAUAUUAUCUAGCCGUCACACAUAGUGCCUCACACAUUCAAUAGAAAAUUUUGGGGAGUACCUUCUUCCUAUUCUUCCCUACCCCUUUAUGUGCUUAUUUAUGUUUUAUGACAUUGAGGACAACGUCAGUUUUAAAUUUGGG
rnacentral:lncRNA from 1 species